rnacentral:rRNA from 1 species
AACGAACGCUGGCGGCGUGCUUAACACAUGCAAGUCGAGCGGUAAGGCCCUUUCGGGGUACGACGAGCGGCGAACGGGUGAGUAACACGUGGGUGACCUGCCCUCAGCUCUGGGAUAAGCCCGGGAAACUGGGUCUAAUACUGGAUAUGACUCCAUGACGCAUGUUGUGGGGUGGAAAGCCUUGUGCGGCUGAGGAUGGGCCCGCGGCCUAUCAGCUUGUUGGUGGGGGGAU